AUUAACUUAAAGUCAACAUGACAAAAAGGAAUGCUUUUUACUUCACGUGUCAUCCAUGUGACAGAGCAGGGAACUUCCAUCUAAGGAGGCGGCCACAGCAAUACAGGCUCGGCUACAAAUGGUUCUUAAAAGGUAAAUGGCUUUGGAGUGAAGAAAUGGACGUGGAAACGGCGCAGCCCCUGCAGUGCAAGGUCACUUUGGGCACAACUAACCUUGCACCCUGGGAUUUCAGUACACAGUGAGGUAACAUGGGUGCACUUCCCAAUUACUGUUGUCAUUCAAGAGAAUGGCUCAGUUGUGGAAAUGUGAAAUUUCUCUGGUGAAAAUACAUCCACAGAGGCACACAGGACCAAGUGUGGCUUGUGCUGUUUGUGAAGCCCAAAUAGAUCAGUUAAUUUUUGAAGGAAAUGACACUGAAUUUGUUAUCAAACUGAGCUGCCCUGAUUCAAUAGGCCAUGAACGUAAAACACAAGGAUCAUCAGAAAACAGGAUGGAUUUUGGAUGGCAUCUGUGUUUCUGAGAAAGGUGCAACGUAUCGGAUCCAGCAGAAGAAUAAGUUUGAAAACUUGUAGAGAUGCCAAAGGCAGUGUCCUGAGGACUCAACACCUCCUCAAAUGCUAUAAUAAAAUACAUUUGGUCA